UCCGAGUUGACCCCGGCAGUCUCCUAUGAGUCCCCGGCAUUACCCGCUGGCAACAUAGAACGAGGGUUGCGCUCGUUGCGGGACUUAACCCAACAUCUCACGACACGAGCUGACGACAACCAUGCACCACCUGUGCAGAGCCCUUGCGGACCCGACAUCUCUGCCGGAUUUCUCUGCAUGUCAAGCCUUGGUAAGGUUCUUCGCGUUGCGUCGAAUUAAGCCACAUGCUCCGCCGCUUGUGCGGGCCCCCGUCAAUUCCUUUGAGUUUUAGCCUUGCGGCCGUACUCCCCAGGCGGUGUACUCAUCGCGUAAGCUCAGGCACCGAAGGGGUCGAUACCCCCGACACCUAGUCUGCAUCGUUUACAGCGUGGACUAC
rnacentral:misc_RNA from 1 species